AUCCAGUUGACGUAUCCCAAAUAGGACGAAACGCGCAUCGUAGAU
rnacentral:hammerhead_ribozyme from 1 species